rnacentral:rRNA from 1 species
UACGUAGGGGGCAAGCGUUGUCCGGAAUCAUUGGGCGUAAAGGGUGCGUAGGCGGGUCUUUAAGUCAGGGGUGAAAUCCUGGAGCUCAACUCCAGAACUGCCUUCGAUACUGGAAGACUUGAGUCCGGGAGAGGUGAGUGGAACUGCGAGUGUAGAGGUGAAAUUCGUAGAUAUUCGCAAGAACACCAGUGGCGAAGGCGGCUCACUGGCCCGGUACUGACGCUGAGGUGCGAAAGCGUGGGGAGCAAACAGG